rnacentral:misc_RNA from 1 species
AUCCCUAAACAUCAAAGGCAACAAUUAACAAUAGAGAAAAACAAGAAGAAACAAUUUCCAAAAAGUUAAAUUAUGUUGAUGGCUUCUAAAUAACUAAGUACUGUCACAUUACAAUCGAUUUACUUACUGUAUUAUUAAUCAAGACAUGACAGACAUCUGUAUAAAGCCAUAUCCUACUGCGUUGUCCUGGUUCCAUAGGGGAUUCUUGACGAACAAUUUUUUGUCCCACUUCUCGAAGCAAAUCAUGCAUCCACACACUUUCAUCUGAAACACUUAUUAAAGAUCUGUUGAUAAGCUCUCGUAUCCCAAUGUCUGGGUAGGAUCCGCAACUGUACAAUAUUUUUUUCACAUAAUUUUCCUCAAUUCCAUUGAAAAAACAUGCUAUGUCGAGGAAAAUUUUCUUUUCCAUCUCAUCUAACCCAUCAAAACUUAUUUGAAGUUUUCUUGAAAUUUCUUCAUUGGGUAUUUCUCUCAGCCUAUCCAAUGCACUCGUCCAUUCUUUCCUUGAUUUAGCAUAUAAGUAUGAACCUAAAACAACGAGAGCUAAUGGGAGGCCACUUGCAUAUCUUACAAAUUGGUUAGACAACUCCUCAUAUUCAUAUGUUGGACGAUCAUUCUUAAAGGCUUUCAAAUGAAAGAGUUUAAGGGCUUCCUCAUGAUCCAACCCGUCAACCAUAUAUUCAUUAUCUACUCCAUGUUGGGCCAACAAAUGUUUAUUUCUAGUUGUUAUGAUGAUUCUACUUCCCACACCAAACCAGUUUUCAUCUCUCUUUCCAAUUAAACACUCUACAUGCUGCAACUCAUUAACAUCAUCAAGAAUGACCAAAACCUUUUUAUGACAUAGCCUCUUUCUUAUCUCAUCUGUUCCCUUGUGAACAUCAUGUAUUUCUAAAUCCCGAUUUAAGAUUGCAGAUAAAAGUUUUUUUUGCAAAGAAACUAAACCAUCAUGUGUCUCAGAAGCUUUUCUAACAUCUGCAAGAAAAAUGCUACCUUCAAAUUGAGAAUGCAUUUGCUUGUAGACAACACUAGCAAUAGUUGUUUUACCUACUCCUCCCAUCCCGUAAAUGCCAAUAAUUGAGAACUCAUCCAUCACUAAACAUUCCUUAAUCUCACUAAAAUUUGUUUGAAAUGCUUGCCCCACUAAUUUUGGGGCUAGCAAUUGAUCUCCACCAUCCUCUUGCACAUCAAGCACAAGUGCUCCUUGAAAUCUAUUCCUUUGAUCAAGAAGCUCAUUCAAUUCUUCAGUCUUUUUCUCUAAAUUCUUUCCUAAAAGUAUGCUCCAUCCACCCUGUGCUAUUACUUCUUCUAUGCUCUGAACCUCUCUUUUCAUCUGUGCUACAUUACUCAGCCAAUUUGCAACUUCAUUCUUCCGUUUCUUACCAGACCAAGAUUCUGAAUUUUCUAGUUCCACAAUUAUGUCAGCUUCAACGCUUUCUAGUUGUUUCAAUUUUCUUUCUAGAACUUGCUUCUUUUCCUCAAAAUUUAAAGCAUAAUCCACCACUGAACCAGCUAUUUCUAUGGCUUUCCCCAGAUUCUCCAUGCCUAUUUUUCUUUUUCCACUUGUUUUUGUUAGGAUCGGCAGAAAUAAUUACCCUACUGGUAGACUUGAAGAGGGUUUAAAGCAGGAAUGAUCCCACCCCAAUCUUCCAUUUGUAGUUUUAUUUUAGCAAAGUCAUAGGCUCAUAUCUACUUGGUCGAAUGACAUACCGUUUGCGAACUCUCUUGGCUCUGGCCAGGCUAUGAUAGAAGAAAGUAAGAACCCCACCUCACCUCCCUGCUUCCUAGAUCUCCUCAAAAUGUGUAAUUAUAAAAGCAUAUGGUAAACGUCA